rnacentral:rRNA from 1 species
UAAGCGACUAAGCGUACACGGUGGAUGCCCUGGCAGUCAGAGGCGAUGAAGGACGUUCUAAUCUGCGAUAAGCGUCGGUAAGGUGAUAUGAACCGUUAUAACCGGCGAUUUCCGAAUGGGGAAACCCAGUGUGUUUCGACACACUAUCAUUAACUGAAUCCAUAGGUUAAUGAGGCGAACCGGGGGAACUGAAACAUCUAAGUACCCCGAGGAAAAGAAAUCAACCGAGAUUCCCCCAGUAGCGGCGAGCGAACGGGGAGCAGCCCAGAGCCUGAAUCAGUGUGUGUGUUAGUGGAAGCGUCUGGAAAGGCGCGCGAUACAGGGUGACAGCCCCGUACACAAAAAUGCACAUGCUGUGAGCUCGAUGAGUAGGGCGGGACACGUGGUAUCCUGUCUGAAUAUGGGGGGACCAUCCUCCAAGGCUAAAUACUCCUGACUGACCGAUAGUGAACCAGUACCGUGAGGGAAAGGCGAAAAGAACCCCGGCGAGGGGAGUGAAAAAGAACCUGAAACCGUGUACGUACAAGCAGUGGGAGCACGCUUAGGCGUGUGACUGCGUACCUUUUGUAUAAUGGGUCAGCGACUUAUAUUCUGUAGCAAGGUUAACCGAAUAGGGGAGCCGAAGGGAAACCGAGUCUUAACUGGGCGUUAAGUUGCAGGGUAUAGACCCGAAACCCGGUGAUCUAGCCAUGGGCAGGUUGAAGGUUGGGUAACACUAACUGGAGGACCGAACCGACUAAUGUUGAAAAAUUAGCGGAUGACUUGUGGCUGGGGGUGAAAGGCCAAUCAAACCGGGAGAUAGCUGGUUCUCCCCGAAAGCUAUUUAGGUAGCGCCUCGUGAACUCAUCUCCGGGGGUAGAGCACUGUUUCGGCAAGGGGGUCAUCCCGACUUACCAACCCGAUGCAAACUGCGAAUACCGGAGAAUGUUAUCACGGGAGACACACGGCGGGUGCUAACGUCCGUCGUGAAGAGGGAAACAACCCAGACCGCCAGCUAAGGUCCCAAAGUCAUGGUUAAGUGGGAAACGAUGUGGGAAGGCCCAGACAGCCAGGAUGUUGGCUUAGAAGCAGCCAUCAUUUAAAGAAAGCGUAAUAGCUCACUGGUCGAGUCGGCCUGCGCGGAAGAUGUAACGGGGCUAAACCAUGCACCGAAGCUGCGGCAGCGACGCUGAUGCGUUGUUGGGUAGGGGAGCGUUCUGUAAGCCUGUGAAGGUGUGCUGUGAGGCAUGCUGGAGGUAUCAGAAGUGCGAAUGCUGACAUAAGUAACGAUAAAGCGGGUGAAAAGCCCGCUCGCCGGAAGACCAAGGGUUCCUGUCCAACGUUAAUCGGGGCAGGGUGAGUCGACCCCUAAGGCGAGGCCGAAAGGCGUAGUCGAUGGGAAACAGGUUAAUAUUCCUGUACUUGGUGUUACUGCGAAGGGGGGACGGAGAAGGCUAUGUUGGCCGGGCGACGGUUGUCCCGGUUUAAGCGUGUAGGCUGGUUUUCCAGGCAAAUCCGGAAAAUCAAGGCUGAGGCGUGAUGACGAGGCACUACGGUGCUGAAGCAACAAAUGCCCUGCUUCCAGGAAAAGCCUCUAAGCAUCAGGUAACAUCAAAUCGUACCCCAAACCGACACAGGUGGUCAGGUAGAGAAUACCAAGGCGCUUGAGAGAACUCGGGUGAAGGAACUAGGCAAAAUGGUGCCGUAACUUCGGGAGAAGGCACGCUGAUAUGUAGGUGAAGUCCCUCGCGGAUGGAGCUGAAAUCAGUCGAAGAUACCAGCUGGCUGCAACUGUUUAUUAAAAACACAGCACUGUGCAAACACGAAAGUGGACGUAUACGGUGUGACGCCUGCCCGGUGCCGGAAGGUUAAUUGAUGGGGUCAGCGCAAGCGAAGCUCUUGAUCGAAGCCCCGGUAAACGGCGGCCGUAACUAUAACGGUCCUAAGGUAGCGAAAUUCCUUGUCGGGUAAGUUCCGACCUGCACGAAUGGCGUAAUGAUGGCCAGGCUGUCUCCACCCGAGACUCAGUGAAAUUGAACUCGCUGUGAAGAUGCAGUGUACCCGCGGCAAGACGGAAAGACCCCGUGAACCUUUACUAUAGCUUGACACUGAACAUUGAGCCUUGAUGUGUAGGAUAGGUGGGAGGCUUAGAAGUGUGGACGCCAGUCUGCAUGGAGCCGACCUUGAAAUACCACCCUUUAAUGUUUGAUGUUCUAACGUUGACCCGUAAUCCGGGUUGCGGACAGUGUCUGGUGGGUAGUUUGACUGGGGCGGUCUCCUCCUAAAGAGUAACGGAGGAGCACGAAGGUUGGCUAAUCCUGGUCGGACAUCAGGAGGUUAGUGCAAUGGCAUAAGCCAGCUUGACUGCGAGCGUGACGGCGCGAGCAGGUGCGAAAGCAGGUCAUAGUGAUCCGGUGGUUCUGAAUGGAAGGGCCAUCGCUCAACGGAUAAAAGGUACUCCGGGGAUAACAGGCUGAUACCGCCCAAGAGUUCAUAUCGACGGCGGUGUUUGGCACCUCGAUGUCGGCUCAUCACAUCCUGGGGCUGAAGUAGGUCCCAAGGGUAUGGCUGUUCGCCAUUUAAAGUGGUACGCGAGCUGGGUUUAGAACGUCGUGAGACAGUUCGGUCCCUAUCUGCCGUGGGCGCUGGAGAACUGAGGGGGGCUGCUCCUAGUACGAGAGGACCGGAGUGGACGCAUCACUGGUGUUCGGGUUGUCAUGCCAAUGGCACUGCCCGGUAGCUAAAUGCGGAAGAGAUAAGUGCUGAAAGCAUCUAAGCACGAAACUUGCCCCGAGAUGAGUUCUCCCUGACCCUUUAAGGGUCCUGAAGGAACGUUGAAGACGACGACGUUGAUAGGCCGGGUGUGUAAGCGCAGCGAUGCGUUGAGCUAACCGGUACUAAUGAACCGUGAGGCUUAACCU